rnacentral:rRNA from 1 species
UACAGAGGGUGCAAGCGUUAAUCGGAAUUACUGGGCGUAAAGCGCGCGUAGGUGGUUCGUUAAGUUGGAUGUGAAAUCCCCGGGCUCAACCUGGGAACUGCAUCCAAAACUGGCGAGCUAGAGUAUGGUAGAGGGUGGUGGAAUUUCCUGUGUAGCGGUGAAAUGCGUAGAUAUCUGGAGGAACACCGGUGGCGAAGGCGGCGUCCUGGACCAACACUGACACUGAGGAGCGAAAGCCAGGGGAGCAAACGGG